rnacentral:lncRNA from 1 species
ACUUUAUUAUAUAUAGGGUGCGGUUUGUAUAGGGUUGAGGUUCUAAACAAUCAAAGUAAAGCGCACAAUAUUGAGAAAUAUGAUUUCAAUACUAGAAAUCUUUGUGAUAGCUUUAAAAUAUAUUUUUAUUUUUAAUUCUAAAAUUUAAAACUUCAAAAAGAGUGUAGAUCUAGCAGAUCUACGAAAGCUCGAAAAUCUUGAAAAUUGAUGGUCCAAAAUUAUGUUACAAGGUGCACUAUUUCCAAAACUAGAAAUCCAUUUUUUUCUUAUGUCCAUGUAUCUUGAUCUCGAGAUAAUCAAUUUGAAGAUAUUUGGGGAUCAAAACAACCUCUUCUAGUAAAUUUUUUGGGGUGGCUCUAAUUUGAUUAUGUAGAGCCUUAGUGGAAAAAGUUAAUUGUGAAACGAAGCACCGGCCCCAGGGCUGGACAGUUCGGGCCUUGCGGUCCUCGGGCAGUCUGGCCCAGACCGUUGGCAGCCCUAAAUGCAAUGGAACGAAGUGAAACUUUCUUGAGUAUUUGAAAGUGUGUCCUUGCAGUGUUCUUUCAGCAACUCUAUGUAUUCUUGAAGCUAUCUUCAAGGACCCCUAUCCACAUCGCAUGGUAACCAUUGGGGUAGGGGAGAGAGAGAGAGUUGAACUCAUUGUAUUGUUAAAACUCCUGCAAAAAACAAGAGGGAGACACUUGAAUAUGUUCUGAUAUUGAUAAACUUCUUACAUGCCACACUCGAUUUUUUUGGUACACCAGCCCUGAUGUAUCUUGAAGGUAUCUUUGCCAGAUGCCCGAUUGCAUCUUCGAAAUCUAAGUAGAUAUUGUUGAAUAUCUUGAAGACAAGGACAACAUCUUGUGCCUCCGAGUCCGAUUCAAGCAUAACGAUACGUUUAUAUUUGUACAUGUUCGAGCUUAAUACUCCUCUCUUGUGCUCAAUGCUUUGUAGUUGUUGCUUUAUGUAACUAAGUUGUCAUUGAGUAGUUCUAUUCUGCAUUAAACAUUCUUACUGUGGCUAUCAAUUUUCAUUGCCACAAAAAUGGUAGUAUGGUUAACAAUACAUUUUUAGCUUUCUAAGACACUAAAAUCAAGAAUUUCAAGG